rnacentral:tRNA from 1 species
GCCUGGGUGGCUCAGUCAGUUGAGCAUCUGACUUCGGCUCAGGUCAUGAUCUCACGGUUCGUGAGUUCGAGCCCCGCAUCGGGCU